rnacentral:rRNA from 1 species
CCUACGGGGGGCAGCAGUGGGGAAUAUUGCGCAAUGGGCGAAAGCCUGACGCAGCGACGCCGCGUGAGGGAUGAAGGUCUUCGGAUCGUAAACCUCUGUCAGCAGGGAAGAACGGUCACUGUGCUAAUCAGCAGUGAAUUGACGGUACCUGCAAAGGAAGCACCGGCUAACUCCGUGCCAGCAGCCGCGGUAAUACGGGGGGUGCGAGCGUUAAUCGGAAUUACUGGGCGUAAAGCGCGCGUAGGCGGUAUGUCAAGUCAAGGGUGAAAUCCCCGCGCUCAACGUGGGAACUGCCUUUGAAACUGGCAGACUUGAGUGUGUGAGAGGAUAGUGGAAUUCCAGGUGUAGGAGUGAAAUCCGUAGAGAUCUGGAGGAACAUCAGUGGCGAAGGCGACUAUCUGGCCCAUAACUGACGCUGAGGAGCGAAAGCGUGGGUAGCAAACAGGAUUAGAUACCCCAGUAGUC